GAUGAACGCUGGCGGCGUGCCUAAUACAUGCAAGUCGAGCGAACAGAUGAGGAGCUUGCUCCUCUGACGUUAGCGGCGGACGGGUGAGUAACACGUGGAUAACCUACCUAUAAGACUGGGAUAACUGCGGGAAACCGGAGCUAAUACCGGAUAAUAUAUUGAACCGCAUGGUUCAAUAGUGAAAGACGGUUUUGCUGUCACUUAUAGAUGGAUCCGCGCCGCAUUAGCUAGUUGGUAAGGUAACGGCUUACCAAGGCAACGAUGCGUAGCCGACCUGAGAGGGUGAUCGGCCACACUGGAACUGAGACACGGUCCAGACUCCUACGGGAGGCAGCAGUAGGGAAUCUGCCGCAAUGGGCGAAAGCCUGACGGAGCAACGCCGCGUGAGUUAUGAAGGUCUUCGGAUCGUAAAACUCUGUUAUUAGGGAAGAACAAAUGUGUAAGUAACUAUGCACGUCUUGACGGUACCUAAUCAGAAAGCCACGGCUAACUACGUG
rnacentral:rRNA from 1 species